CUUAACUUAGCGGCGGACGGGUGAGUAAUACUUAGGAAUCUGCCUAUUAGUGGGGGACAACAUUUCGAAAGGAAUGCUAAUACCGCAUACGUCCUACGGGAGAAAGCAGGGGACCACUUGUGACCUUGCGCUAAUAGAUGAGCCUAAGUCGGAUUAGCUAGUUGGUGGGGUAAAGGCCUACCAAGGCGACGAUCAGUAGCGGGUCUGAGAGGAUGAUCCGCCACACUGGGACUGAGACACGGCCCAGACUCCUACGGGAGGCAGCAGUGGGGAAUAUUGGACAAUGGGGGGAACCCUGAUCCAGCCAUGCCGCGUGUGUGAAGAAGGCCUUUUGGUUGUAAAGCACUUUAAGCGAGGAGGAGGCUACUAGUAUUAAUACUACUGGAUAGUGGACGUUACUCGCAGAAUAAGCACCGGCUAACUCUGUGCCAGCAGCCGCGGUAAUACAGAGGGUGCGAGCGUUAAUCGGAUUUACUGGGCGUAAAGCGUGCGUAGGCGGCUGAUUAAGUCGGAUGUGAAAUCCCUGAGCUUAACUUAGGA
rnacentral:rRNA from 1 species